UCUGGUCACGUUAGCCCAUAUGCAGUCCUUGCUUGACUUCAUGUACCAGACUGUCAGUUAAACUGAUGUUUUUGUCUAAUUAAUAUCCUUUCAUUCUUAGGCUCUGGACAGAUGGAAGAAAAUCAGAAACAGAACCAGAACAAGUUGCACUGGGACCAAUAUGUACAAAGAAGCAAGCUCUACACUGAGAAGGACAGGAGGACAGACCCUGUCACACUGCUGCCACUCGUGCUGCUUUCACUGUGCUCACCCCUUCUGUCUUCGUGUCACCAUGUGAUGCUUUUGUCUGAACUCCCUCUGAUCUGCCCAUCUCCUAAGCAAGCUGCUCCAAAGCACACGCACUCUGAUGGAGAUCUAAUGGGACUGGGUAAUCACACUUACUUUACAUACUUAGUGCUGUGACCUAAAUAGCGUUCAGUUUUUGUGACAGUGUUUUAUUGUUAACUUGGACUUGGUGUAUUAUCCAGAAUGACACACGGCUCUGUCUCUGUGAAGCUCCUGUGCAGUCUAUUCAUAGGGAAAAUCCUGGCGGCCUUGUUCAAUUUAAACUUGUCGCAUCCUCAAGCAAAGUCAGUUGAUCUCUG
rnacentral:lncRNA from 1 species